CGUUGUAUUCGGCGACGCGCUCAAAGUGAUCGAGCCAGUCUUCAACAUCCUCGAAGGUGUCCCCAUGGAAAGAUUUGGGGAUUCGCGGCUGGUUAAGCACGACCUCGUUCGUGGAAGAUGAUGG
rnacentral:lncRNA from 1 species